CACCGCGGUUAUACGAGAGGCCCAAGUUGAUAAUAAUCGGCGUAAAGAGUGGUUAAUAUAUACUAAACUAAAGCCAAACACCUUCAGAGCCGUUAUACGCACACGAAGGCAGGAAGACCCCUAACGAAAGUGGCUUUAACACACAUGAACCCACGAAAGCUAGGAAA
rnacentral:rRNA from 1 species